UACGUAGGGCGCAAGCGUUGUCCGGAAUUAUUGGGCGUAAAGAGCUCGUAGGCGGUCUGUUACGUCCGCUGUGAAAUCCCUCGGCUUAACCGGGGAACUGCGUCUGAUACUGGAUGGCUUGAGAUUGGGAGAGGGAUGCGGAAUUCCAGGUGUAGCGGUGAAAUGCGUAGAUAUCUGGAGGAACACCGGUGGCGAAGGCGGCAUCCUGGACCAACACUGACGCUGAGGAGCGAAAGCAUGGGGAGCGAACAGG
rnacentral:rRNA from 1 species